rnacentral:rRNA from 1 species
AGCAGCCGCGGUAAUUCCAGCUCCAAUAGCGUAUAUUAAAGUUGUUGCAGUUAAAAAGCUCGUAGUUGAAUUUCGGGAUCAAAUUGUCGGUCGUGCCUCGGUACGAACUGGUAUUAUUGGUUCCUCCCUUCUGAAGAACCGCGAUGUCAUUAAUUUGGUGUCGUGGGGAAUCAGGACUGUUACUUUGAAAAAAUUAGAGUGUUUAAAGCAGGCUUACGCUUGAAUACAUUAGCAUGGAAUAAUGAAAUAGGACGUUUGAUUCUAUUUUGUUGGUUUCUAGGAUCGACGUAAUGAUUAAUAGGGAUAGUUGGGGGCAUUAGUAUUCAAUUGUCAGAGGUGAAAUUCUUGGAUUUAUUGAAGACUAACUACUGCGAAAGCAUUUGCCAAGGAUGUUUUCAUUAAUCAAGAACGAAAGUUAGGGGAUCGAAGACGAUCAGAUACCGUCGUAGUCUUAACCAUAAACUAUGCCGACUAGGGAUCGGAUGAUGUUAAUUUAAUGACUCA